GGCGUGCUUACACAUGCAGUCGAACGAUGAAGCCCAGCUUGCUGGGUGGAUUAGUGGCGAACGGGUGAGUAACACGUGAGUAACCUGCCCUUGACUCUGGGAUAAGCCUGGGAAACUGGGUCUAAUACUGGAUAUGACUUCUCACCGCAUGGUGGGGGGUGGAAAGAUUUAUUGGUCUUGGAUGGACUCGCGGCCUAUCAGCUUGUUGGUGAGGUAAUGGCUCACCAAGGCGACGACGGGUAGCCGGCCUGAGAGGGUGACCGGCCACACUGGGACUGAGACACGGCCCAGACUCCUACGGGAGGCAGCAGUGGGGAAUAUUGCACAAUGGGCGCAAGCCUGAUGCAGCGACGCCGCGUGAGGGAUGACGGCCUUCGGGUUGUAAACCUCUUUCAGUAGGGAAGAAGCGAAAGUGACGGUACCUGCAGAAGAAGCGCCGGCUAACUACGUGCCAGCAGCCGCGGUAAU
rnacentral:rRNA from 1 species